AACGAACGCUGGCGGCGUGCCUAACACAUGCAAGUCGAGCGAGAAAGCCCGCAAGGGUGAGUACAGCGGCGCACGGGUGCGUAACACGUGAGUAAUCUGCCCUGGAGCCCGGAAUAACCUCCCGAAAGGGAAGCUAAUGCCGGAUGAGCCCACGGGGUCCUUGGACUCUGAGGGAAAAGGCGGCCUCUGUAUACAAGCUGUCACUUCAGGAUGAGCUCGCGGCCCAUCAGCUAGUUGGCGGGGUAAUGGCCCACCAAGGCUACGACGGGUAGCUGGUCUGAGAGGACGAUCAGCCACACUGGAACUGAGACACGGUCCAGACUCCUACGGGAGGCAGCAGUGGGGAAUCUUGCGCAAUGGGCGAAAGCCUGACGCAGCAACGCCGCGUGUGUGAUGAAGGUCUUCGGAUCGUAAAGCACUGUCGCGAGGGACGAAUAAGGGCCGGGUGAACAAUCCGGUCUGAUGACGGUACCUCGAGAGGAAGCACCGGCUAACUCUGUGCCAGCAGCCGCGGUAAUACAGAGGGUGCAAGCGUUGUUCGGAAUUAUUGGGCGUAAAGCGCGUGUAGGCGGCCUGGCAAGUUGGGUGUGAAAGCCCUCGGCUUAACCGAGGAAGUGCGCCCAAAACUACGAGGCUUGAGUACCGGAGAGGGUGGCGGAAUUCCCGGUGUAGAGGUGAAAUUCGUAGAUAUCGGGAGGAACACCAGUGGCGAAGGCGGCCACCUGGACGGAUACUGACGCUGAGACGCGAAAGCGUGGGGAGCAAACAGGAUUAGAUACCCUGGUAGUCCACGCCGUAAACGAUGAGCGCUAGGUGUUGUGGGUGUUGACCCCUGCAGUGCCACAGCUAACGCAUUAAGCGCUCCGCCUGGGAAGUACGGCCGCAAGGCUA
rnacentral:rRNA from 1 species